GUCCUGGCAGUAAACGGUGCACGUUUGGUGUGGGAGGAUUCGACCCCUUCCGUGCCGGAGCUAACGCGUUAAACGUGCCGCCUGGGAAGUACGGUCGCAAGAUUAAAACUCAAAGAAAUUGACGGGGCCCGCACAAGCGGUGGAGUAUGUGGCUUAAAUUCGAUGCAACGCGAAGAACCUUACCAGGGUUUGACAUGCAUUGUGUCGGCGAUGAAAGUCGCCUAAGCCGGGUUAAAACCGGCGCUUUGCACAGGUGCUGCAUGGCUGUCGU
rnacentral:rRNA from 1 species